UAAUGGUACGCCUGCCCUGCAGUCCACAUUCUGCUCAUGGAGAGAGAUGUAGGCAAACUCCAUCAGAAAUGACAUGUGAGGACUUAGGUGUCUCCACCAUGGGACAGAAACAAAUACAGUCAUCUCAAUUCCAUUCUUCUCUCUUCAGCCUUCACACUAUUUCUCUUAAGUUGGCAGUUAAUCGCAGAGGGAGCAUAGGUUAAGACUAUCAGGGGUAUACAUGAUUAGGCUCCAAACACAUUUGCUAUAAGAAGUGUUAUUCUUUGGACUUUGGAACCUGCCCUAAACUCCAGCAGAACACUCUAUAAAAGCAGCUUCUGGUCUGGAGAGCAUCAGGUGCUUAACUCUGCUACUUGGUUGGGAACUGAAGCCAUGGCUUUCUUUGCAUAGGCUGCAUGGAAGGAAGCACCACCCAGAGCCCCACAAGGUGCCAGACUUGAACCUAGAACUGGCCUGGGACUGGGUAAUGGAUAAUUUUGAGGCCCUGAGCCAUCACUCCUGCCAGCACCCCUGGUGCUGUGGACCUGGGAAACCCAGCACAGCCUCACUGAUGGAUGAAGCUGCAUUUGGGGGUGAGAGGGGACAGAAACGCUGCAGAGAGCCACAUGCUGAGGAGCCAAUGGAUGAAACUGCAGAGCGACUUUGGGGUCAUCAAGAUGUAGGAGCCACUUCCAGGAGAAAGGUUCAAUGGACUUUGGACCAGCUGAAAGGUGACUACACCCACAGCAGUGGAGAGAUGCUUGCCCCACAUGAAUCCUGGAGCCAAGGGGGCUCCCAGAAACGACUCAAAACUGAGACUGGCAUGAGAGAGGAAUCAGGAAAGGAAAGACACCCAAGCAUUGUGGACAGCAUACGCCUUGAGAUCCUUCAAUAUAUUUGGGAGGCUCCAGAAAAACAUGGACCAAGAGCCUCAUGCUGCCUCUGAGGGCUUAAAGACUGUGCCCUAUAUGCCCUGGAGCUUUGAAGUCUCUUUAUUUUGUCCUCUUGACUGUUCAGUUGAUGUGUUAUGGAUAUUUUCUUAAAUCCAUGUAGAAUCAUUACAUUCUGAUGGAAACUGUACAUAAUUAAAAUCUUUCCUCCCCAC
ensembl:lncRNA